GUGUGCUAGGUGGGGAGCCAGCGGUGCCCUGUAACCCUCAAUCCGCUAUAGAGGGACUGAAUUCCUGCAGAAGAAUACCGACUCUACCUGUGGGUGAGAGAAGUGGUGUUGAGGAGUAAACCCGACGCAAUCGUAACCUGUGAACCUUGUCAGGUCCGGGAGGAAGCAGCAAUAAGCAGAAUUUACGAUGUGCCGCCGGCAAAUUUGCUCUGAGCUAACUGACUUAUUCUGCAGAAUAGAUAAGUAUCGACUGCAGGUGCACAC
rnacentral:SRP_RNA from 1 species